GUUGUCGUCAGCUCGUGUCGUGAGAUGUUGGGUUAAGUCCCGCAACGAGCGCAACCCUUAUCAUUAGUUGCUACGCAAGGGCACUCGUAAUGAGACUGCCGGUGACAAACCGGAGGAAGUGGGAUGACGUCAAGUCCUCAUGGCCCUUAUGGGUAGGGCUUCACACGUCAUACAAUGGUCGGUACAGAGGGUUGCCAAGCCGCGAGGUGGAGCCAAUCCCAGAAAGCCGAUCGUAGUCCGGAUUGUUCUCUGCAACUCGAGAGCAUGAAGUCGGAAUCGCUAGUAAUCGUGGAUCAGCAUGUCACGGUGAAUACGUUCCCGGGUCUU
rnacentral:rRNA from 1 species